GAUCCUGGCUCAGGAUGAACGCUAGCGACAGGCUUAACACAUGCAAGUCGAGGGGCAGCACAGGUAGCAAUACCGGGUGGCGACCGGCGCACGGGUGAGUAACGCGUAUGCAACUUACCUAUCAGAGGGGGAUAACCCGGCGAAAGUCGGGACUAAUACCGCAUGAAGCAGGGGCCCCGCAUGGGGAUAUUUGCUAAAGAUUCAUCGCUGAUAGAUAGGCAUGCGUUCCAUUAGG
rnacentral:rRNA from 1 species